AGCGAACGCUGGCGGCAGGCUUAACACAUGCAAGUCGAACGCAUCCUUCGGGGUGAGUGGCAGACGGGUGAGUAACACGUGGGAACGUACCUUUUGGUUCGGAAUAACUCAGGGAAACUUGUGCUAAUACCGGAUACGCCCUUAGGGGGAAAGAUUUAUUGCCGAAAGAUCGGCCCGCGUCUGAUUAGCUAGUUGGUAGGGUAAUGGCCUACCAAGGCGACGAUCAGUAGCUGGUCUGAGAGGAUGAUCAGCCACACUGGGACUGAGACACGGCCCAGACUCCUACGGGAGGCAGCAGUGGGGAAUAUUGGACAAUGGGCGCAAGCCUGAUCCAGCCAUGCCGCGUGAGUGAUGAAGGCCUUAGGGUUGUAAAGCUCUUUCGGCGGGGACGAUAAUGACGGUACCCGCAGAAGAAGCCCCGGCUAACUUCGUGCCAGCCGCCGCAGUAAUAC
rnacentral:rRNA from 1 species